GUUGUUGGCAGCUGUGGCUAAGGAGGGGAGAACCUCUGCUCCCCGCCCGUCUUCUCUUCUGCGUUUCCCGGGCUAGGGGGCGUGGGGAGUGGUUUUAGGCGGCGAAGCCGCUCGGCAGCACCUUCCUUCUUUGCCAGGCAGACGCCCGUUGUAGCCGUUGGGGAACCGUUGAGAAUCCGAGACGGGGUUUUGCCAUGUUGCCCAGGCUGGUCUUGAACUCCUGGACUUAAGCGAUCUGUCCACCUUGGCCUCUGCAAGUUCUGGGAUUACAGAAAGCCCGCUUAUCUACCAUUUUAUUUACUGACAACUGUGAAGUAACCCAUGACCAGCUGUGUGAAUUGCUGAAGUAUGCAGUUCUGGGCAAAUCCAAUGUUCCAAAACCCAGGGAAUGAGUCAGCUACACUUUUACAGGUUCUAUUUGGAGUUUGGAUGUCUUCGAAAAGCAUUCAGACAUAAAUUCCGCUUGCCUCCACCAUCAUCUGAUUUUCUAGCUGAUGUUGUUGGGCUACAAACUGAACAAAGAGCUGGAGAUCUGCCCAAGACAAUGGAAGGGCCUUUACCUUCUAAUGCAAAAGCCGCCAUCAACCUUCAGGAUGAUCCCAUCAUUCAAAAGUAUGGCUCUAA
rnacentral:lncRNA from 1 species